UACUCGCCUGCUCCAGCAGCUAUUCGCGCU
rnacentral:sRNA from 1 species